CCUACGGGGGGCAGCAGUGAGGAAUAUUGGUCAAUGGGCGUAAGCCUGAACCAGCCAAGUCGCGUGAGGGAUGAAGGUUCUAUGGAUCGUAAACCUCUUUUAUACGGGAAUAAAGUGAGGCACGUGUCCCGUUUUGUAUGUACCUUAUGAAUAAGGAUCGGCUAACUCCGUUCCCGCAGCCGCGGUAAUCCGGAGGAUCCGAGCGUUAUCCGGCUUUAUUGGGUUUAAAGGGUGCGUAGGCGGCCUUUUAAGUCAGCGGUGAAUGUUUGUGGCUCAACCAUAGAAUUGCCGUUGAUACUGGGAGUCUUGAGUAUGUUUGAGGCAGGCGGAAUGCGUGGGGUAGCGGUGAAAUGCUUAGAUAUCACGAAGAACCCCGAUUGCGAAGGCAGCCUGCCAAGCCAUGACUGACGCUGAUGCACGAAAGCGUGGGGAUCAAACAGGAUUAGAUAUCCGGGUAGUC
rnacentral:rRNA from 1 species